rnacentral:misc_RNA from 1 species
CCGGAGAUAUCCAGGUUGCGACAGUGGCCAUCGCCCCCGAGCCGCUGACGAGAUGACCCAGCCGGUGCGUCUGUCGGUUGAGGAACUCGAGGAAGGGUGGCGCGCGGCCGCCCGGUUAUACCCGUGGAGCCCGUCCAUGAUUCUCUGGCGCGGCUGGGAGUUUGCCGCCUACCGGAGGUUCGUGCUCCCCGAGCCUGUGCUUGACAUUGGUUGUGGCGACGGUCAGUUCUUCAGGCUGCUUUUUCCAGAUAGUCAGGAUGUCGUCGGGGUGGAACUGGACCAGGGUACUGCGCGGAAUGCCCUUGACUCCGGGGUGUAUCGCGACGUCCACGUGAUGGCCGCCGACGCGCUGCCCGCCAACGCCGAGCGGUUCGGGUCUGCGUUCGCGAACUGCUCGCUCGAGCACAUGGACAACCUGCAUGACGUCCUGAGCGGAAUCCACGCGAGUCUUCAAUCGGGAGCGCCAUUCCUGUGCAGCGUCGUGACGGAUCACUUCACGCAGUGGUCGCCGUUGCCUUUCCUGCUCGAGGCCGCAGGCGCUCCGGCGUCUGCGCGCGAGGUCCAGCGUGGUCACGAGGCCUAUCAUCAUCUCGCCAACCCGCUCAGCUGUAAGGAAUGGUGCUCGGCUUUUGAACGUGCAGGUUUCAUCGUCGAGCAGCACAUCCCGAUUGUUCCGGAGCUUGCUGCCCGUUUGUUCCUGUUUGUGGAUCAGUUCGUUCAUCUGCCCCGCGGUGCAAGCGAAUGGUCCGAACCGCUGGCGGAGUACCUCCGGCGCUUCCCGGCAUUCCCGGUCGAGUUCCAUCGAGUGCUGUCGGCUAUCAUGGCAAUGGAACGGACCUGCGAUGACGGAGCCGGGCUCGUCGCGUGGCUCCGGAGAACCUGACAGGGACGAGCUCCACCCGCCACAUUUUCCGUGACUUGGACCAAGACUGAUUGAUAAUGCGUGCCUGCUGGUGUGCCCGAUCCGAAUUGCAGCCGUUCAGUGCUGAGUACGAGUUCUGCGUAAGCUGCGGAACCCUGGUCAGCCGGUUCCAUCACGAUCGCGACGUCGCUCGUGUCAGCUCGGAUGACUCCGACCUGUAUGGCAGGGACUACUGGUUCGGCCAUAUGGAGAAUGACCUUGGGUUUGCGAACAUCUAUCAGCGAGCGCGCACGGACCUGCCCGAGCGGGACCUCCACUGGCUGAAAACCCUGCUCAAGUACCGAGUACCCCCUGCGCGCGCCUUGGAAUUGGGGAGCGCCCAUGGCGGGUUCGUCGCGACACUCAAGUGGGCCGGAUUCGAUGUGUCAGGGCUUGAGCUGAGUCCUGCGAUUGCGCAGAUUGCCCGAACUCUGUUCGACGUGCAGAUGCUCGUAGGGCCUGUCGAAGAUCAGAAGAUCGAGUCCGGGUCGCUCGAUGUGAUCGCACUCAUGGAUGUGCUGGAGCACCUGCCAGAUCCAGUUGCCACCAUGCGCCGCUGCAUCGACCUGCUCACACCCGACGGGUUCCUGCUCAUUCAGACGC